UAACACAUGCAAGUCGAGCGGUAGCACAAGAGAGCUUGCUCUCUGGGUGACGAGCGGCGGACGGGUGAGUAAUGUCUGGGAAACUGCCUGAUGGCGGGGGAUAACUAGUGGAAACGGUAGCUAAUACCGCAUAACGUCGCAAGACCAAAGUGGGGGACCUUCGGGCCUCACGCCAUCAGAUGUGCCCAGGUGGGAUUAGCUGGUAGGUGGGGUAACGGCUCACCUAGGCGACGAUCCCUAGCUGGUCUGAGAGGAUGACCAGCCACACUGGAACUGAGACACGGUCCAGACUCCUACGGGAGGCAGCAG
rnacentral:rRNA from 1 species